rnacentral:rRNA from 1 species
AUGUCAGACUUCUUGGCAUGGAGCUUGACAAAGACAGGGGGUUUCUCGGUAAGAUCUGCAUAUCAUGCUGUUUGGGAGGCCCAGUUUGGUCACCAUCUGCAGGCUGGCUGUAGCUCAUCAGCGCCUAAACCCACUUGGAAAUCUCUUUGGGGGCUGAAUUGUCCUGCAAAAAUUAAAAUUUUUGUUUGGAGAGUGAUCCACAACGCUAUUCCAUGCCAGGCGUUACUGGCGGAUAGACAUAUCAAGAUAAAAGCCCAUUGUCCCUCUUGCAACCUAGGCCCUGAGACCAUUCGACACUUGUUGUUUGAGUGCCCAGUCGCCACCGAGGUUUGGAAGCUGCUUGGAUUGCAUGAGGUAACCACUAAAGCCCUGGUUUUGGACAGAUCUGGGGAAGUAACUUUAGAAUUCCUUCUCAAUCUUCUAGAUAAUCAUAUCCAUGUGUUGGGAUUCCCCAAAUUCAGAGAAACAAUUGCCACUUGCUGCUGGUUUUUGUGGUGGGAAAGAAGAAAGCUAACACACGGAGGAGUAAAGCUUAAUGCUUCACAGAUCAGUGUAGCGGUGAGAUCACUUGCUGCUAACUAUAUUAAUGCUUAUUCUCCAAAACCAAAGAUCCCACAGGCUGGCUGGAUGAGGCCGAGGAAUGGGUACGUCAAGCUGAAUGUGGAUGCGGGGUUCGACCAUGAUUCGCUGGAGGGAUCUGUGGGGGCUAUCAUUAGAGACCACAAUGGUAAUUUCGUGGCAGCGGCCAAUGAAAAACUGAACAUAUGCUAUGAUGCAAUUACCGCAGAAGCAAUUGCAGUAAGGUUUGGCUUGAAUCUAGCCCGUGCCGCUGGAUGCAACAAGAUCGAGUUAAAUUCGGAUAGUCUUGAGGUCAUCAACGCGCUUAAAGAAGGGAGUUCUUCUUCGGUUGCCAGUGCCAUCUUUGAUGAUUGUUUUUUUAUGUCCUUAGAUUUUACUCAUAUCAUCUUUGAACACUGCUGUAGAGAUAACAAUAAAGUAGCUCAUGAGUUAGCUAGAGUAGUUAAAUUCAAUCCUCCUGGUGUUUGGCUGGAUACAGCCCCGGGGGCGGUUAUCCCCCUGGUUGUUUUUGAUGCUACUAUUGUAGCUAAUUAA